UUGAACGCUGGCGGCAUGCUUUACACAUGCAAGUCGAACGGUAACAGGCCGCAAGGUGCUGACGAGUGGCGAACGGGUGAGUAAUGCAUCGGAACGUGCCCAGUCGUGGGGGAUACCUACUCGAAAGAGUAGCUAAUACCGCAUACGAUCUAUGGAUGAAAGCGGGGGACCGUAAGGCCUCGCGCGAUUGGAGCGGCCGAUGUCAGAUUAGGUAGUUGGUGGGGUAAAGGCUCACCAAGCCAACGAUCUGUAGCUGGUCUGAGAGGACGACCAGCCACACUGGGACUGAGACACGGCCCAGACUCCUACGGGAGGCAGCAGUGGGGAAUUUUGGACAAUGGGCGCAAGCCUGAUCCAGCAAUGCCGCGUGCAGGAAGAAGGCCUUCGGGUUGUAAACUGCUUUUGUACGGAACGAAACGGCUCUGGUUAAUACCCGGGGCUAAUGACGGUACCGUAAGAAUAAGCACCGGCUAACUACGUG
rnacentral:rRNA from 1 species